GGAGCUGUGGUGUAGAGUAAGCGCUCAACAUGCCUGCCUGCCCACGCAGGAGCAUCGCGGGUUCGAAUCCCGUCAGCUCCG
rnacentral:tRNA from 1 species